ACUUGACAAAAUGAUGAAGGAAGCAGUUUCACUUCCCCUUGACCAGCACUGCAGCACACAGCAGAGCAGAUUCCAGAAUGUCAAAGAGUACUUCUCUUACCUUGGGGUGUUUUAGUUAUCCAUGUGGCUGUGCCAACAACUAAAGUGGGGUUAGGCUGCUUUAAAAACACGGCAAAUAAAACAUAGUGAAUCUCACGUUUACCCUGCUGUGAUGAGAUUUUGUUUAAAAACAACAACAAAAUCAGGAAGGCAACGACCAGAGCCAAUGGGAAAGCAGUGUCACAUUGUGUAACCAAUCAUGGCCGACAUGGAGGGGUCAGCAGCCAAGCACAGGGCAAUCAGGCUUCUCUACUGGUCCUCAAUCUGAAGAUUAACAGGCAGUGGGUUCAGCUCUGACUGGGUUUGCUGUGUCUCUGUAUCCCUGAGGGAGCUGCCACUAGCGAGUGUCCCCAAGCAGCUCAUACACUGCGGCUGCCAGACACCUGUCUGGAUCCUUGGGAGCCUGCCGCAGAAUCUGAAGGCAAACAGAAUGAAUCGACCAACAGGAAAAACAAUACCGGUGUAUAUUGCAAUUCAAAUAUAGUACUGUUUGUGCACAAAUUAAAAGAAACCCUUUUUAUGCUGGUAUUUAAGAGCUUGUGUUCCACAGUAAAGUGUUUUUAAAUAAAAUAGAUAACAGUAGAAGUCAAGGUUUUUAUGCACAUGAAAGCUGUUCAAAGACAAGUGUUUUGGACUUCCCUUUCUUGCUGUUCUGCAUCUAACCCCAGUGGAAUCAGUCAUUCAGCUUGGCCAUACAGUAUGCUGCUGUCACUAGGUGUCAAUGCAACCCUUUUGUGAGGUUUGUUUAUCUAAUCUGUACUGUCAUUUUAUCACAGGAUCUGGAAUUCCAAUAAAAGGGAAUGGCAAAGAGAACAUUUCUGAUAUAAGAUACAAUGUAUUCCAAACUGCAUGCUGGUCCUUGAUAUGUUGUCCUGUUAACUGUGUUUAAUAUACAGUAUGUACCCAGUUUUGUAUACCAAGAGGUUUUCACAAAGGGCCCAGUGUUUUAUUGUAGCAGGUUCUGUGAUUCGUGUUUGUGUGCAUCAGUCUGCAGACAAACAGGAGAGUCAAUAUGCAUUGUUCUUCCCUUGAAUUCCUCUUAAUAACACCUGCUGUUAUAAGCCCAACUACCACAUUUAUUUUGCAUACUUGCACAGAAUAAUCAUGAGACCCGAUCUGAAGAUAUGCAGAUUAUACUGUACCUAUUGUAAAACACAGUGCGUCUCCACUACCCAAACACGCAUUCCCUUAUAAGCUUUGAUGGGGAGACGCCAACUCAACAACACUCAUGAUGACAGGUGAGAAGAUAGACAAAUACAAGCUGAGUAUCAACCUGCCAAAUGCUGGCUGUGUGAUGCACUCUGCACCUUUAUAAAUGACUCCUGAGCACCUUCGCCUGUUAUCUACCCAUAAUAGCGUGUGUGACAGCUUAUUAGUAUUGUUUGUAUUUUUUUCCAGAGCUGAACCAGGCUAGGUCUUUUCACUCUGCAAACUUUUUACCAGCCUGCAAAGCAGGGAUACUAAAAAACUCAAACAAAAGCACACAAAAGGUUAGUUGGCAGCAUUUUCCAAGCAAGUGCUCCCAUUCUGCUCUGAUCACAAGGAGAGGGGCGUGCCCUGGGCGAACGAGAGAUCCGUGCUGCUGACUGGAGUGUGAAAAACCUUGUGCACUGGCAGGGGAAGGGGCCAGUAAGGGUUUAUCUGAAUAACUGAGUCUUACUUAAACAAAACAUUUAUUAGAAAAAUAAAGUUCCCCGACAGUCCAUUCUUGGGCGGCAAGUUCUACCAUCCCUUCAUAUUCUGGAAGAUCUAGCCAAGCGAGAUUCUUCAGAGAGCAAGAGGAGCAUCACAACCCUGAUCAGAAUUUAGACAGGGCUGUCCAGUGACUUUCCUGAGCUGAAGACAUGGGUGGGUCUAAUCCUGGGGAGAGAGGUUUAGAAUUAUAAGAGAUUAACAUUUUAAAUUGCAAUUCUGAUCAUUUUCUGUUGUGUUUAAAAGAAGUGAGUGAUCACUAUAAAAAGGGACCAGGCUCAAGCUGCUGAUGCUAAAGCCCCUUCUAAUGUACAGCACUGCAGUCCACUGAUGCAUCUUAGCGUUUGUCCUCUAGGUGCCAAUGCAAAAAAUAAAUAAAUAAAUAAAUAAAUAUUUUCUC